CGCACGGGUGAGUAACGCGUAAGUAAUCUACCCUGGUAUUUGGGAUAACACUCCGAAAGGUGUGCUAAUACCGAAUACGCUGAUUUAUCAGGAAAGGUGGCCUCUUCAUGAAAGCUACUGUACCAGGAGGAGCUUGCGUACCAUUAGCUAGUUGGUAGGGUAAUGGCCUACCAAGGCAACGAUGGUUAGCGGGUCUGAGAGGAUGAUCCGCCACACUGGAACUGAAACACGGACCUG
rnacentral:rRNA from 1 species